GAAAUGCGAUAAGUAAUGUGAAUUGCAGAAUUCAGUGAAUCAUCGAAUCUUUGAACGCACAUUGCGCCCCCUGGUAUUCCGGGGGGCAUGCCUGUUCGAGCGUCAUUUCACCACUCAAGCCUCGCUUGGUAUUGGGCAACGCGGUCCGCCGCGUGCCUCAAAUCGACCGGCUGGGUCUUCUGUCCCCUAAGCGUUGUGGAAACUAUUUGCUAAAGGGUGUUCGGGAGGCUACGCCGUAAAACAACCCCAUUUCUAAGGUUGACCUCGGAUCAGGUAGGGAUACCCGCUGAACUUAAGC
rnacentral:misc_RNA from 1 species